rnacentral:rRNA from 1 species
CACAUGCAAGUCGGGGGGCAGCAUGAUUGAAGCUUGCUUCAAUUGAUGGCGACCGGCGCACGGGUGAGUAACGCGUAUCCAACCUUCCGUACACUCAGGGAUAGCCUUUCGAAGGAAAGAUUAAUACCCGAUGGUAUGAUGAGAUUGCAUGAUAGCAUCAUUAAAGAUUUAUCGGUGUACGAUGGGGAUGCGUUCCAUUAGGUAGUAGGCGGGGUAACGGCCCACCUAGCCGACGAUGGAUAGGGGUUCUGAGAGGAAGGUCCCCCACAUUGGAACUGAGACACGGUCCAAACUCCUACGGGAGGCAGCAGUGAGGAAUAUUGGUCAAUGGACGAGAGUCUGAACCAGCCAAGUAGCGUGAAGGAUGAAGGUCUUACGGAUUGUAAACUUCUUUUAUAAGGGAAUAAAACCUCCCACGUGUGGGAGCUUGUAUGUACCUUAUGAAUAAGCAUCGGCUAACUCCGUGCCAGCAGCCGCGGUAAUACGGAGGAUGCGAGCGUUAUCCGGAUUUAUUGGGUUUAAAGGGAGCGCAGACGGGUCGUUAAGUCAGCUGUGAAAGUUUGGGGCUCAACCUUAAAAUUGCAGUUGAUACUGGCGUCCUUGAGUGCGGUUGGGGUGUGCGGAAUUCGUGGUGUAGCGGUGAAAUGCUUAGAUAUCACGAAGAACUCCGAUUGCGAAGGCAGCACACUAAGCCGUAACUGACGUUCAUGCUCGGAAGUGUGGGUAUCAAACAGGAUUAGAUACCCUGGUAGUCCACACGGUAAACGAUGGAUACUCGCUGUUGGCGAUAUACGGUCAGCGGCUUAGCGAAAGCGUUAAGUAUCCCACCUGGGGAGUACGCCGGCAACGGUGAAACUCAAAGGAAUCGACGGGGGCCCGCACAAGCGG